rnacentral:rRNA from 1 species
CCUACGGGGGGCAGCAGUGAGGAAUAUUGGUCAAUGGACGAGAGUCUGAACCAGCCAAGUAGCGUGAAGGAUGACUGCCCUAUGGGUUGUAAACUUCUUUUAUAUGGGAAUAAAAUGUUCCACGUGUGGGAUUUUGUAUGUACCAUAUGAAUAAGGAUCGGCUAACUCCGUGCCAGCAGCCGCGGUAAUACGGAGGAUCCGAGCGUUAUCCGGAUUUAUUGGGUUUAAAGGGAGCGUAGGUGGAUUGUUAAGUCAGUUGUGAAAGUUUGCGGCUCAACCGUAAAAUUGCAGUUGAAACUGGCAGUCUUGAGUACAGUAGAGGUGGGCGGAAUUCGUGGUGUAGCGGUGAAAUGCUUAGAUAUCACGAAGAACUCCGAUUGCGAAGGCAGUUCACUGGACUGCAACUGACACUGAGGCUCGAAAGUGUGGGUAUCAAACAGGAUUAGAUACCCCAGAAGUC